GACAAGUGACUUUUUAUUUGCAUGUUUAUGUCAUAAUUUUUUUAUUAACAUCGUAACAUUCUAUAUAUAUUAUAAUUUUCUUUGAUCGGAACUAAGCAACGAUCUAAAAAUAGAAUUGAAUUGAAUUGAACUAAGGAACGACAUUGGGAAAAUUAAAUAUUAUCCAUAAUGGGACCUAAGAAGGAAAAGAAUGUUAUUGACGAAAAUUAUUGGCGGACUUAUAUAGAAGAAGCUCCGUUGGACGAAGAGAACUGGAAAGUAAAAGUAAUCCUCAUAGAAGCAGCCGGGAGCGACCAAGAUCGGAUUUACUUGAACAAGUUUGAGAUUUUUGCUGCAGAGGAAAAAAGAUUUGUCAUAAAAAAUAUCUGUAAAACAGAGACUAUCUUCAUGGUAAAUCAAUUAGGGGGCGAAAAGAAAAUUAAAGAUGAUAAUCUUCGUGUAUUUGAAGAAGGUCAAGCUUACCUUAAAGAGAAAAAAGAUAUACCACCUGAUAUACAAGCCCUGAUAAUUAAGCAUCUUAUUUUGAAAAUGAAAGAUGAAUAUCUUUUUAUCAAACGCCAAAGGUUGGAGGUAAGAGAAGGAAUGAGAAGAGAAUCUGCGACAAUGGUUGACAGAACGGAAAUUAGAGGCACUGUGAGUGUAAAGCCAUCUGAACCAGUGGACCCUCCACCCCCUCCCAAAAAAGGCAAGAAAGAUGAAGCUGAGCCUAUGGAUUUGCUUCCCGAACCUACCGAAGGUAAGAAAUAUAACACACAACUAAGAGUGCGAGGCGAAGAAUGGCGAGACAAGGUUUACGUCGAUGAUUUUCCCACUGAUGGGCCAAAUCUAUAUGUCGCUAUAACAGGCUUUGUAGAACCGUUGCUACCUGGAUGCCUUGUCCAAAUUGGCAUACCAUUAACAGCAGUAGUGCAAGUAAGAAUUGACCCGAGCACAACUAAAGUACCCUCGACCUUAUUUAGAGCUACAAAACGAGGUCAAAGUCAAACUGAAUUGUUAGCCGACAAAUCGUUACAAUUCUGGGAAGAUUUACAACAACUAAGAAUUCAAAAAGAAUCUGCUGCUAUUUUCAAAAACACGGCCUUUGUAGUGUUUUCUCCACCGUAUUGGGAUUCUGACAAUUUGUCCGGAAAUCCUGAUAAAAUAUAUGAUGAAUUGUGCUAUCUUAUGUACGACUUACAAGAUCUGACUAGGCAACAUUUACAUUACCUUGAUAAUAUGGAUAUUAUUGAUAUACCCGAAGAAACAGCUGAUGAACGUUAUAAUAAAUAUUAUCAUCAACAGAUUGAUGAAUUGCCACUAGAAUGCGUUACCAUCUUCUCUGUAUUAGAUAGCAUUCUCCAAACUGUUUCAAAAAGUCAAAAACUAGACGAGAUGAGCAGCCAAUCUUCAUUAUCUACAGCCUUAACUAUAAACCAACCACGUAAAAGCAUGGACACAGAGGAAAAGACAAAAAAAGCGGAAGCUUUUGUAAAAGAAGUAUUUAACACGCUUUGCAAGACAGAGGAAAAUAAAAAAUCCUAUCGAGUAACUCUUGGUGAUGAAUACGAAAGUCAUAAAGAUCCUAUUAUUAUAAAUUAUGGUGACUUUGUUAAAUAUAACACGUUCCAUUUAGGUAAUAUCAAUCUAGAUAAUAUAGUUUGGUUGUCGUUACUCGGUAUGCCUUUACAUCGACUGUGGCAAAAUCAAAAUCGUUCUCAAGAUGAAAUUGAAGCAAAAAUAAAUUUUCAUGUUAACGUUCUUUUAUCAUGUUUCGAAAGGGAAGACGUGGAAACAGCAGAGUUAACAAGAUUAAUUCACAUUUUGGCUUGUAGAAAAUUGUACAACAACAGAAGUUCACUGAAACGACACCAUCUGCUCUCUACGACCAUUUCUGAUUUUAAGAAGGUUUAUUUAAAACGAAGUGUUCUCGCCGAGCCUUUACCAAAGUGCCCGUCACUGUUUAAAAACGGGAGUUCCACUUCUCCAUCUUUUCCAUCUAUGACUAAAAGCGAAAAUAAUUCUGACUUAGCUUAUAGUGAUGACACAGAAGCUCAACGAAUCAAGUUUUUGUUUGCUUGCCCUGACAUUAGUGAGCUUGUAUCGGCUGCUGAAAUAGCAAAUGGUAAGCCGAUUAAUCAUUUAAUUGAUGAUUUCGAAUAUUUCGAAGACUUUAACGGCAUUAGUUCCUUUCAAAUAAUGUUGGAUGCUUUUAAUAAAUUUAACUGCGUCGACUACAAAUAUUGCGAAGUGACUGAUUGCAUACUACUUAUGUUUUUCAAUAGCCACGAUAAAGAUGGAAUAGCUCGCGAGGAGUGGCGGUGUCAUUUGCCCACUCCUUUAUGCUUACAAGAUUUUUUUGACUUCGUUUUAGAAGAGCAUUAUGAAUGGAUACAAAAUGAAGAAAAAAUAUAUGACCAGAAAAUUGUACUGAAAACACAAUCUGUAUGUAAAAACUUGAUAGAUCCUUUUGCAGCUCAAUCCUGUGUCGACGAUACUGAGGUUGAAAUAGAUUUACUUAUGGAAGGUUCGCUGAAAUACCAAACCAUCGCCCAAAUGGAGGAAACUACACCCGAAGAAACCUCUGACACUAAGAAAAUGACUUCAAUGUCUACUUCAGAAAUGGAUUCAAAAAGCAGCCGAAAGACUAAAUCGCCUACCACUUCAACACCCAGAAAUUUAAGGCAGUCAUUUAUGGCUCCAGGAGCAAGUUCUAGAUCUACGGUUGAAAUACCUCGUAAACCAUUUUCUGGCUACGAUCUAGGCGAUCGACGGGUAGAAGUUUUUGGGAAAGAUGCAACAUAUUUUUCUAAAGACGGUACUAGGGUCACGAGCAUGUACACUUUGAUUAUACCAAUGAACGUGGAGUAUAUAGUAUUAAAUGUUGUACCUGGAAAUAGUUGUAACGAAUUCUGGGUUCAUAGAGCUUUGGGAGAAUCAGUGAGUACGGAUAUAACAGACAUGUGUGAAUCAUUUCGAAUUACUUGCAAAGACCAAGUUAUGAUUAAUAUUAAGAAACAGACUUACAAAGUUCCAUUACCAUCGCGAAUCAUUUCAACAUCUGAUAAUCCAAAAAGAAAGGAAAGUAUGUUAAAGUCUGCGUCAACUAAACUCAGCACAAUGCUCACUCAACUAUUUGAAACCAGAUCUUAUCACUCUCUGUAUGUUACUUGGCCCAACGGCCUUAUCACUGAGAGUGUUCACGAAGAUAAUUCUCCUACUAUUUCCCACAUCAAACAAUAUUACAUAACUAGUCCAACAAAUCUUGAGGAAGAAAUGCGUUGUAUUACCCUCAAUGGCGAAGUCUUAAUAUUUCAUAGAACUGGAAAAAUUGAAGUACUAAGACCCGGCGGAUCUUAUAUUAAAAUCAUAAAAUGUGAGAAAAAAGUUGUAGUUCCUGAAGGUACAGAUGAUUUUCACAGUGAAACGAGCUCUGACAAAAGUAAAAAGGGCAAGGGUAAAGAAAAAGUUGGUAAAGAUAAACUAAGUAAAACGUCUUCAAAAUCCUCUAAAAAUGUUCUUGCAGACGACAAGCUCGACGAAGAUAAACUGCCAAAAUCUGAGCUGAUUAUUGACGACUUUGAAACAACAGACACGAAUGGGCUUCGUCAGAAAUGGAUUAAUAAUAAUCCAUAUAACAUAGAGAAAUUACUUACGCGUACUGCAACCGACUAUUGUCUUGGAGAAGUAUUCUCUCGUCGCAUGGACGGGAUUAACAGUCUACUUAAUAAAGAUGGAGUUCAAAUAAUAACAUUCGCAAAUGGUACGAGAAUUAUAACAAAUUUCAUCAUAGAAGAGGUAGAAGUUUUCCCAGAGUGGACGGAUGAAGAAAAAGAGUAUUUUGAUAUGUUCAGUACCGAAACCAUGGAAACAGAUACUAUAAAAUCGAAAGGCUCGAUUUCGCAAAAAAAUGACUUAGAUGAAUAUGCAUAUAAUACUAGUGACGUUGGAUCUAUAUCUAAAAAGUUUAACGAAGAGGAAACUAAAAAAGAACGUUCAGAUGGUUUUGUUGCCAUACAAAUUAUUUACACUAUUGAGCAUCCUAAUUUUACAACAGUUACUAUAAAUAAAAUUAACGGCAAAAUUUCAAUCGACUCUCCAAACAAUACGACUGUUACUGUAGAUGUUAACAAUCAAUAUCACAUUGAAUUAGACAGUAAUACUAUCGCUAAAUUCAAUGGUGAAAGCUUACACAUAGACUACGAAGCAUGCCCGGAAUGUCGUUCGAAUACGACAUGUAAUAUUAAAAUUAAGUCGGACGAUAUGAGCAGUGUUACCAAAGUUCAACAGAAUUGGUUGAAAAUGAAGGAUUCAUUCUGUAAGAAUAUAGUAGUGAACGAAGAAGGAGGGAUUACUUUAGUCGAUGAGGCAUGUUCAUCCGACGCGGUAUAUCCCGAAGAAGUUGUCAUUAUCGAUGAAAAUCUAGAAAAUAUAGAAGAGAAAACUGUCGAUGGUAAAUCAGAAAGUUCAGUAAUGUCCCAUGGCAAAUGCAGGGAGAUUUAUCUAGCAAAAACUAUAAGGUUCUUUGUUUUGCGCCGUGAACUGACGUGCUCCGAGUUAGUGCAUCGAGCGCUGUUAGAUCAAUAUAAGCAAGCCUGUCGAUGGCAACCUUGGUGCUCCAUCAGCCAAUAUGAUACAUUCGGAGACCACCGAAGUCUGGUCUCUAUCCUCACACCAGUUCAUAUCACAGAGACUGAGAAAUGGCUUAUGGAUUCUAAAUUAGCAAAUAAACCUAAAUACUUGACGUAUAAAGAUUUGAAACACGAUUCCGGCAAAGGAUUCUACCAUUGGAUGCGUCCUUACGAGAGAUUCGAACCUAAGCCAAUGAAACCAGACAAUGUUUUGCCGCCAAGAUUGCCGAGAGCCUUUGUUUUAAGAACUCUAGAGCUACAAUGGCAAGAGAAAGAGCGAGAUAAGUUAAAAGGUGCUAAGGAAUUGUUGCAUGCGAUUCUCAAAUACCGACGCGUGAUGGAAUCUGAUAGUGAGACUAUACUCAACGUGCCCAUAUUGGACCCGAGGCCUGAAGACGAACGCCGUAUUGACGAUAUCAUUCAAGCCCUGGCACAUAGAAUUUACGAAGAUCUGAAGUUUAAAUUGGAAGAGGACGUCCAAGGCCGUGCGAAGGCGACAAUCACAACUAAAUCGGCCAUCGCUCCUGAUGACUUGACGUCUUUGGAGGGCGAGGUGGAUGAAGAACGUGCGGAUGAGUUGAAGGUUCUAGAAGAAGAAAGAAGUGCUAUAGUUAAAGAAGUGGAAGAUGCGGAGAAGAUGAGUCCCAAUCUUAAGAGAUACUGGCGUCGGCGAGCGGAGGAGUUUAAGGAGGAACAAUUUUAUCAACACCUACUGCGCGAAGGCAGCGUGCCGCCGUACUUCCGGAACGUACUCGGCGGCGCAAUCUGGUGGGAGAUGAACAAUGCUGCUGGCGACGCGGUCACCAAGGCUGAGCGGCGGACGAUGAAGUGCGUGUGUUGUGCUGAGGAGGGUACCUCGCGGACUACUGACAUCACUUCACCGCCCUUCAUGUAGAGCUUCUGCUAGUUGCCGUUAGAACAAAAACUGUUGCCGGUUAUCUCUAACAUGUACGUAACGGUGAAACCUCUCGAGUAUCCGCAAGUACUUGUAGUUAGACAUAAUAUUUAUUAUUUAUCAAUAGUACAGCUCAUGAAAAACUAAGUUGUAUAAUUUCACUAGAGAAAUUAUGGGUGGUAUCAAAUAAUUUGUAAUUAACACAAAAGAUAAAUAUUUUCCUUGCACGUUAAAAACGGUAACAUCACGCGAACAUUGAAUGUCGCUUUUACCCAUACCUACCUACAUAAGCUUACGUCUCUAUAACAUAACGGCUAGAUGAGAUCCCAUGACGUCCGGGCUAUUCUAUAUGAUAGGGAGCGACUCUAUGCGAUACGAAAUCAAAUUCCGGCCAACUUAGAUAGGUUUUUCAAAUCGAAAAAUUCACAAUGAUUAAUCCUAUUACCGAACUGGGAUUGAUUCAUAGCCCAACAACAGGUGCCAUUGAAUCAAUGAGGUAUUUGGUUUGUACCUUUUCUCAAAAUUACAAUUAGUACCACCAAUCAGAUUGGACCCACCUCGGAUUCUUUUUUAUUUUUACGUGAGCAAUUUAUAAUAGGUAUUAGGGCCCGUUUCACAAGUACUCAUUUUAUAACCAUUUAUUUGGGAACAUAUGACAAUUUAGUGUUGGACGAUUUGUAUUUGGUGUAUGUGUGUGUGAUGAGUAGCAUCUUUAAUUGUUUAUUUUGGUUAUGUAUAAAAAUAACAAAA